GCCUCGGUGGAGCAGUGGAACAGCACGCGUUCCUGGAUAGGAUAAAACGCUAGUUCGAUUCGUGCCUGAGGCC